rnacentral:lncRNA from 1 species
CAGCUAAUGAGAUGGGAGUGGAGGCCAUUCUAUGGGGUUUGGGAAAUGUCUGUUGGCAUCUUCUUUUUGCUUCUAUCUGGAGGCCAGACUUAGGCUGGCAACCUUUACCAGGAAGUGACCUUAAGGGUAGAAAGCAUGAGAUUGCCUGUGGUUUUGCCAUUACACCAGCCCCAGUCCCAGUUCUCCUGCAAUCACUGGAGCAAUAAGGUGUCAUAACUGAAGGCAUGGACUCUGGAUUCACAUGCAGGUGCUCCACUGUUGGCACAACCAUGGAGAAUGCAUCCUCCUUUCUGUGCGUCAGCUUUCUUGCCUGUAAAAUGGGGAGACGAUAUCCUGCGUAGGAGUGCUGUGAGCUUGAAAUAAGGUGAUAUAUGCAACGGUCUCAGAACAGGGCCGGCACAAUGUCAGCACUAAAUAAGUGCUAGCUGUUAUCACAGCAUAGCUUCUGACUUCAAGUUCCCGCAGUCUCUGAGAGUCUUAAUUUAAAACCUCGAGAGGAGAAGGAUCUGGUUGGUUCAGCUCUGUAAGGCUGCCAGGGCACAGGCUGUGAGGAGGAUAAUGAUGUCUUUGAGAAGAGAAGGGAGACUUCGGUGUGGUGGGAUCCCAAAGAACUUACAGCUGACCUUUAAACAAUGCAGAGAUUAGGGAUGCAAACCCCAUACACAGUUGAAAUUUGACAUGUAACUUUUUGACUCCUCAGAGUCUUAACUAUUAAUAGCCUACUGUUGACUAGAAGCCUUACCAAUAACAUAAAUAGUCAAUUAAUACAUACUUUAUAUGUUACAUGUAUUAUAUACUGUAUGCUUAUAAUAAAGUAAGCUAGAAAAAAGAAUUUAUUAAGAAACUCAUAAGUAAAAUAUAUUUACUACUCAUUAAAUGGAAGUGGAUCAUCAUAAAGGUUUUCAGCCUUGUCAUCUUCACGUUAAAUCAAAGAGCAGGAAGAAGAAGAGGAGUUGGUCCUGCUGUCUUGGGUGGCAGAAGUGGAAGAGGUGGAGGAGAUGGAAGGGAAGGCAGAAGAGGCAGGCACACUUGGUGUAAAUUUUAUUGAAAAAAUUCAAGUAUAAAUGGACAUGAACUUCAAGCACACACUCCAAGCCUGUGUUGUUCCAGAGUCAACUGUAUUUGGGAACAGCACCCUAGAGAGAUGCCACUGAGCAUUUUGAAGAACACAUAGUCCAUUUCCAGGUAAGAAGGGGUAAGAUCAUUCCAGGCAGAGGGAAGACUUCCAAGCGAAGGUAAUGAAAAGUGUCAAAGAGCUUGCUGUCCUCUUGGAGUUUCAAGAUAGCCCAGAAGUAUAGAGGUGCAACGAGAAGAGGAUCAGAAUGAGAAAAGGGUGAGAAGUCAAUAGGCAAGAUGAAGAAAGCCUUCUAUUGCCAAACUCGGGAGCUUUAACUUCAAUCUGUGAGCUAGUGAUCCCAGGCUGGAGCCCAGGAACCUCACAAGAUCCCUGAUUCUUGAUCAGAGGUCUGUGAGUUCAUAUUGAGGACUUUUCUUAGAAAACUUCUGCACACAUGGUGAGUGACUUAGGACAAGUCAACAUAACCUCUCUCAGCCUCAGUUUUCUCAUCUGUCGUAUGGCAUUAAUACUAGUGCUGGCCUUACAGAGUUGUGAGGAUGGAAUAAGUUAUCACAAGCCAAGUUCUUAGAACAGUGCCUGUCACAUAGUAGUUGCUCAACAAAUGCUAAUUAUUGUUGUAUUCUUUUUAUUUCAUUGAUAGUUUUUAAAUUAAUGUAGGCAUUUUUAGUUUAUCUAGGUGGCCUAUUUAUAACCUGACACUGCAAUGCGAUUUCAAUGCCCAUGCUUGCAUGUUUAUUUAUGAUACCAUUGGUGCCAAUUAGUAUGUCUUUCAGCAUCAUGGGUUAAUGGGAAAAGAUCGGAGGUGGAUUUGAUCUACAGAGGGUGAUUUUGUACCAAGUAAGGUUCAAAGAGUGUCAGGUCAUGGUGUUCAAACAAACAUAUCCCAGCUGGGUCCCGAGUAAGGAUCUAAGCCAUGUGGGGACCAGAGCAUGAAGAAGCACCUCCAUGAGAAAUAACCCACUUUGCUGCAGCCAACCCAAGGCCAUAAUCACUCUGCGAGCGGCAUUUUAGUUUUGGCAAAACGAACUCAUCUGUCCCAUUAAAUGAAUGUUGUUCCUUUGAAUUUUAUUGGUUCUAUAGUCUUAUCGUUUUAAUUUAUAAGUGUGGUUUUACCAUUGUAUAAGAGCUAUUAGCACACAAAGUUUACGCCGAGUUUUAUGUUGGCACAUACUUAAGCAACAGUAUAGUAAAAAUAACUGAAGUCAAUACCAGGAGUCUGCAAUUUGUAUUACUAUUAUUAGUCACAUUUGAGAAUAUGAUGGCGGGAGGGUUUAAGUUGGGGCGUGGCAUGAUUUCGUAUUUCAGAAAGCUCUGGCAUAGGUGUGGGGAGGAUAGAAAGAUGGGAGCAAGAGCUGUUGUCUCAGCACAUGUUUCUGUAAGAAACCAACAACCUCGUGGAAUUAACAAUACAUUAUUUUUUCUGAAUCUCUGUAUAGGGAGUAGAGUUAGCAACUGUCAUGGGUUGCCUGGGACCAGGGAUGGCUUCAUGAGUGUGUAACUUGUGCAGACACAUAGGUCCAUAGGUCCCCAUGGUCAAAAGGGCACCUUAUUUGGUUUAACACCCUGUUGUCACAAUCUUGAAAAUCUUCAUCAUUUUUGAAGAAGGUCCCUGCAUUUUAAUUUUGCACUGGACCCUGCAAAUUAUGUAGUCAGUCCUUCCUGGACUGAGGAAUAUCCCAAGACAUGGGACAUUCAGUGCUAAACUGAGACAGUCUCAGGCAAACUGGGAUGAUUGGUCACCCUAACUGCCAUGCAGGGCCCAGGGCAUGAAAAGAACUGGUUAUCUUAAUAGGAUAUCUGGCGGUUUUACUCCCAAGUUCCUGGCCACUCCCAGAGGGGGCACCUGGCAAAGAGUUUGUGCUGAAGCCCUAGGCCUAAACAAUGUGCCCAGGCCAGGCUCAGGGUGCUGGCCUUGACAGGGUGUCAGAGAUGAAGGCUAGGCAGUUUCUAAGGGGGCUGCUUCCUGCAGAGGUGGGGCUAGAGACACCUGGGGAAGCAGCCGAAACUCAUUUUGCCUUGAGAAGGAGCCAGCAGGAUUAGGGUGGCGAUGGCGUGGCUCUUCAUAAAUUGUUGUGAUGCACGGAAGAAAACAGUAUUGGGACACGUCCCCUGGCAGGUUUGCUUUCUCCAAGCAUGAGACAUUCACAGAAAUUCCCCGCCUACCUUGAGAAGUCAAAGUUGCUGCUUCAUCUGCAGGAAAACCCCAAGCAAGAGAAGGGCCUGGUACCUUCCUAGCCAGCUCUCAAGUUCAACCCGGAUUUACAGCCUGCUGCUUAUUAUUUCAAUGAAAUUAUAGUGGAAAUAAUUCAAUUUCAAUUAUUUCAAUGAUAGGCAGGUCAAUUCCAGGUCAUGGAUGAGGUCAGUUCCAGGUCAUGGAUGAGGCAAGGAAGAGGAGGAAAAAAGUAGCUGAUCUGUUAGUUUCAAGGGGCAAGAUCCAAGGAAGCUCCAAUGAACAGAGAUGCCAGGGUCAUGGGAAGCAACAGACGUAGAAGCCCCAGGCCAACUACUUCUCUGUCAUUGCAACGAAAAUGCGUUGCCUUUCCCGAAAGAUCCUCUUAGCCCCGC